rnacentral:rRNA from 1 species
UGGUGGUGCAUGGCCGUUCUUAGUUGGUGGAGUGAUUUGUCUGGUUAAUUCCGAUAACGAACGAGACCUCAGCCAUCUUAAUAGCCGUCGCUAAUCCUUAGCGCUCGCUGGAGUUCGGCUUCUUAGAGGGACUGCCCGCCGCAGCGGGAGGAAGUUUGAGGCUAUAACAGGUCAGUGAUGCCCUUAGAUGCUCUGGGCUGCACGCGCGCUACAAUGAUGCACUCAKCGAGCACCCGGCUUGRYAAGGCUAGGGAACCUUCAAUGUGCAUCUUAGUUGGRAUAGAUGAUUGCAAUUCU